GAAGGUAUAGCUCAGUGGCAGAGCAUAUGCUUAGCAUGCACAAGGUCCUGGGUUCAGUCCCCAGGAUCUUCA
rnacentral:tRNA from 1 species